rnacentral:lncRNA from 10 species
CAGAGGCGCACAGGACCGGCGACGGCUGCACUGGGGCUGGAACUGGCGGCAGGGCAUUGUCAGGGCGGGACCCGGCGAUCGCAGGGUGGGCGGCUUGCAGGGAUCAGAAGCAGGAGGCAGGAGGUCCGGGCACCCGGCUCUGGGCAUCAGGCCGCUCUUUAUCCUGAAUCCCCGCCUCCCUCUGCCCUGACGCCCUGCGCGCACUCCAUCUCAGGCCGCGAAGUGGGCCAUGUGAGCAGUCUCCCUCCUCCUUUCCCCGCGGGCGACACGAGGAGCCCAGGGCGCAGCGGGCUCGAAUCACAUAGUGCCCGCCCCGGAUUUCGUGCGCAGAGAGAACCCCAGGCCCCACAGGCCCUCCCACGCUCUGCCCAGAUCCCUGGGCAAGAGUCCACCGUCAGCAUCGUCGCUUAGUGCUCUCCCUGGUUAUUCCAGAAACACCAGUCGCUGAGGAUCUCUCACCUGCAGUUCCCUGCUGGAUCUUCAUUCUGACUGGUCAACCAAUUGUUCCAGUGCAUUGAAGGGCUAGCAUUUCAUCAUCGAAUUGCUUUGUACCUAUGUUGAAAAUAAAAUGGUGAUGUGUAUGUGGCUGUAUUUCUGGACUCUACUUCAUUCCAUUAAACUCUUUAUUUUUGGCCAAUACCAGACAAUGUA